UUUCAAUGUUAUCAUUAAUUUCCAUGUGUAAAUGUCUUUGAAUGGCUUGUUUAUUGCAAUAUCAAGAGUCUGAAGAUACAAUCAUUCCUGCGGGAAUUGUUAUUUGAUCUAUUCAUUUCUUUGCAAAGAAGUUCUUCAUGUCUUUGACACAGUGAGCACUGGCUGAAUCCAGACUAGCAAAUCUCUUUAGCUACCUUACAAAUACAAGGUGGCCAGAGAAACCUACUUCCUUAUAACUGCUUGUGUGCACCAGGUUUUUUGGUCUCAAGAAUAUAAAUGCUUGAAACAUGUUAAAUCUUAUCUUUUUGCCUUUAGUGAUGAUUGAAGGUGGGGCUUUCUUUCCAUCCAGACAAAUUGCCAAAUUUCAUAAUCAGUAGAAGGAAUGUAGAUUGACAUGACAUCUUCUGAUCAAUUGUUGUUUGAGAUCCUUGGCCCAUAAAUAUUGCAGUUUCAUUCGUAUCAAUCAUAUUGGAAAGUUGAUAUUUAGAAAAGUUGAUGCCCUCAACAAAAGACUUGAAUGCAAAUACACAUUUAGUAAGUUCAAUAUCUUCAAUAUGAACAGUGUUGUUGAUCAUCUCGGAGACAGUUCAUAUUGCUGAAGGAAGCCAUCCAGCCAGUGUUGUGAUGCUUUGAGUUCUUCUGGGGAUAUUUCUAACUCUGUGUCAUUGCAAGGGCAAAUGUUUGAAUAUCAGCUCUGCACAUACCCAAAGCUUUUGCUCUCCUGUCAGCAAUCCAUUCAUAGAUAAUAUCUUCCAGCUGAGUAAAUAAUGGUUGUCGACCUGAUCCACAUAUGCAUUUUUAGCAUUUCUCUCCUCCACCUGUUGACUGAGGUUACUGUAUUCUGCUUGUCUUUUUCAGAACAUUCAGAGAUCCGGCUUCUCUUUGCAGAAAGCCGUAAGAUUCUUGCCCCAGAAGUCCUCCAUGAUUCCUUUGAUAUACUCAAUGGAAUAACUCUUUUUUUUUUUUUUUCAUUCACCUUGUCUGGGGGUCAAAAUAUUAUUCUCUUUAAAUCUACUAUUAAAUCAAAUGUUAAUUGAAGACUUACAAGACAGGCAUUGCAAUAAAAAUAAUGACAGUUAAGAAUGAUGGUCCACACAAAAAUGAUAAAAAAAUUGCUGGCACCAAAAU
rnacentral:lncRNA from 1 species